rnacentral:rRNA from 1 species
CAGUAGCCGCGGUAAUACGGAGGGUGCAAGCGUUAUCCGGAUUCACUGGGUUUAAAGGGUGCGUAGGCGGGCAGGUAAGUCAGUGGUGAAAUCUUCGAGCUUAACUCGGAAACUGCCGUUGAUACUAUCUGUCUUGAAUAACGUUGAGGUGAGCGGAAUAUGUCAUGUAGCGGUGAAAUGCUUAGAUAUGACAUAGAACACCGAUUGCGAAGGCAGCUCACUAAACGCUCAUUGACGCUGAGGCACGAAAGCGUGGGGAUCAAGCAGGAUUAGAUACCCCCGUAGUCCCUGUCUCUUAUAC